AUUGAACGCUGGCGGCAGGCUUAACACAUGCAAGUCGAGCGGGGGAGGUUGCUUCGGUAACUGACCUAGCGGCGGACGGGUGAGUAAUGCGUAGGAAUCUACCUAUUAGUGGGGGACAACAUUCCGAAAGGGAUGCUAAUACCGCAUACGCGCUACGGGGGAAAGCAGGGGAUCCUCGGACAUUGCGCUAAUAGAUGAGCCGAAGUCGGAUUAGCUAGUUGGUGGGGUAAAGGCCUACCAAGGCGACGAUCUGUAGCGGGUCUGAGAGGAUGAUCCGCCACACUGGGACUGAGACACGGCCCAGACUCCUACGGGAGGCAGCAGUGGGGAAUAUUGGACAAUGGGCGGAAGCCUGAUCCAGCCAUGCCGCGUGUGUGAAGAAGGCCUUAUGGUUGUAAAGCACUUUAAGCGAGGAGGAGGUUACUUUAGUUAAUACCUAGAGAUAGUGGACGUUACUCGCAGAAUAAGCACCGGCUAACUCUGUGCCAGCCGCCGCCGUAACAC
rnacentral:rRNA from 1 species